GAUGAACGCUGGCGGCGUGCCUAAUACAUGCAAGUCGAGCGAACAGACGAGGAGCUUGCUCCGUUGACGUUAGCGGCGGACGGGUGAGUAACACGUAGGUAACCUACCUAUAAGACUGGGAUAACUUCGGGAAACCGGAUCUAAUACCGGAUAAUAUUUCGAACCGCAUGGUUCGAUAGUUAAAGAUGGCUUUGCUAUCACUUAUAGAUGGACCUGCGCCGUAUUAGAUAGUUGGUAAGGUAACGGCUUACCAAGGCAACGAUACGUAGCCGACCUGAGAGGGUGAUCGGCCACACUGGAACUGAGACACGGUCCAGACUCCUACGGGAGGCAGCAGUAGGGAAUCUUCCGCAAUGGGCGAAAGCAUGACGGAGCAACGCCGCGUGAGUGAUGAAGGUCUUCGGAUCGUAAAACUCUGUUAUUAGGGAAGAACAAACGUGUAAGUAACUGUGCACGUCUUGACGGUACCUAAUCAGAAAGCAACGGCUAACUACGUG
rnacentral:rRNA from 1 species